CUAGAGUUCAGACGUGUGCUCUGAUGCCAGGAUCCAAAAUCUGCAUCAGUUCCAUUAGGAAUUCAUCUUCUCCUGACAGAUUGUACUGGGGGCUCUGCCUGUCUCCAGCACUCCAGACCCUCAGCUACCACCACCACGUGGGACCCCAAUUGAUUCAAGCUUCACUGAGUGGUGAGAACCCAGCUCUCUCUCUCUCUCUCUAAAUAUAGCCUUCUGACCCUGACUUGU